GUAUGGUGAUGCAACCUUUGUUGAUGAAAGACAUCAGCAUAGAUAUGAGGUCAAUCCUGAUAUGACAUCAAAACUUGAAGCAGCUGGUCUCUUGUUUGUUGGUAGGGAUGAAACUGGUUGGAAGAUGGAGAUUGUAAAACUACCAAGCCAUCCAUAUUUUAUUGGUGUUCAGUUCCAUCCUGAAUUCAAGUCCAAACCAGGAAAAACCUUCUGCUCUUUUCUCAGUACUCAUCGCGGAAUCAUGUGGGCAACUGGAUUUGUUUUUAAACAAGUCUGAUCAUGUAAGCAACGGAGUGGCAAACGGGGUAAAUACUGGAAAAGCAACUCCAAAGGUCUGGCAAAACCGGAACCGUUUCAAGUCUGCCAACGGAUCAUUAAAUGGCAUGUACAGCAAUGGUAAUGGUGUGCACCAUUAAGAACUCGGU